CGGUCUGCAUGUCUAGUAUAAGCACUCUUUUACUGUGAAACUGCGAAUGGCUCAUUAAAUCAGUUAUCGUUUAUUUGAUAGUACCCUACUACAUGGAUACCUGUGGUAAUUCUAGAGCUAAUACAUGCGCAAAACCCCGACUUCGGAAGGGGUGUAUUUAUUAGAUAAAAAACCAAUGCCCUUCGGGGCUCCUUGGUGAUUCAUAAUAACUUCACGAAUCGCAUGGCCUUGCGCCGGCGAUGGUUCAUUCAAAUUUCUGCCCUAUCAACUUUCGAUGGUAGGAUAGUGGCCUACCAUGGUGGCAACGGGUAACGGGGAAUUAGGGUUCGAUUCCGGAGAGGGAGCCUGAGAAACGGCUACCACAUCCAAGGAAGGCAGCAGGCGCGCAAAUUACCCAAUCCCGAUACGGGGAGGUAGUGACAAUAAAUACUGAUACAGGGCUCUUUUGGGUCUUGUAAUUGGAAUGAGAACAAUCUAAAUCCCUUAACGAGGAACAAUUGGAGGGCAAGUCUGGUGCCAGCAGCCGCGGUAAUUCCAGCUCCAAUAGCGUAUAUUAAAGUUGUUGCAGUUAAAAAGCUCGUAGUUGAACCUUGGGCCCGUCCUGCCGGUCCGCCUCACCGCGAGUACUGGUCCGGAUGGGCCUUUCUUUCUGGGGAAUCCCAUGGCCUUCACUGGCUGUGGCGGGGAACCAGGACUUUUACUGUGAAAAAAUUAGAGUGUUCAAAGCAGGCCUUUGCUCGGAUACAUUAGCAUGGAAUAAUAGAAUAGGACGUGCGGUUCUAUUUUGUUGGUUUCUAGGACCGCCGUAAUGAUUAAUAGGGAUAGUCGGGGGCGUCAGUAUUCAGCUGUCAGAGGUGAAAUUCUUGGAUUUGCUGAAGACUAACUACUGCGAAAGCAUUCGCCAAGGAUGUUUUCAUUAAUCAGGGAACGAAAGUUAGGGGAUCGAAGACGAUCAGAUACCGUCGUAGUCUUAACCAUAAACUAUGCCGACUAGGGAUCGGGCGGGGUUUCUAUGAUGACCCGCUCGGCACCUUACGAGAAAUCAAAGUUUUUGGGUUCUGGGGGGGAGUAUGGUCGCAAGGCUGAAACUUAAAGAAAUUGACGGAAGGGCACCACAGGCGUAAACAACCGCUACUGCCGCAGCGACUCUGCGCGAACAGCAGCCCAAAAGGGUGAAGGGGGUGUCCCCAAUUGCUAGUCUGGGCCCGUCCCAGGCACCCCUUCCAUUGCGGGGAAUUCCUCAGCCGCCGCUACCAACCCGGGACCCAAAGGGCCGGUGGCCAGGAAACCCCCCGGGGAGGGCCAAGGGGGCGGAAAAGGGAAAACCCCCCCACCCCCUCUCCCCCCGAAGCGGGGGGGCAAAAAAAAGGGGGGG
rnacentral:rRNA from 1 species